AAAAGGCAGAGCAGAAAAAAAACAGGUGGUGGUCCUGCACCCCCACAUUAUACCCCGGCAGCAUCCCUGGGGGCAGCUCUUCCUUAGACCAAAAGCCAGGGACCAGUAGCAACACCUUCAUUACUGUUUUACAUAAUACACCAACACUUUUACCUGUUCCCAAGCAAGUGGUGGCUGAAGCAUGUGCAGACAGUGAAGAAACCCUCUCAGAUGACUGUCCUUUGGAGGAAGUACUUGUAAGUG